AGAGUGAACGCUGGCGGUAGGCCUAACACAUGCAAGUCGAACGGCAGCACAGUGGUAGCAAUACCAUGGGUGGCGAGUGGCGGACGGGUGAGGAAUACAUCGGAAUCUACCUUUUCGUGGGGGAUAACGUAGGGAAACUUACGCUAAUACCGCAUACGCCCUUUGGGGGAAAGCCGGGGAUCGCAAGACCUGGCGCGGAUAGAUGAGCCGAUGUCGGAUUAGCUAGUUGGUGAGGUAAUGGCUCACCAAGGCGUACGAUCCCGUAGCUGGUCUGAGAGGACUGAUCAGCCACACUGGAACUGAGACACGGUCCAGACUCCGACGGGAGCAGCGAGGUGGGAAUAGUGGACAAGUGGGGCA
rnacentral:rRNA from 1 species